rnacentral:rRNA from 1 species
GAGACAUUAUUGCCACAAUGGGCGCCAAGCCUGAUGCAGGAAUGCCUAGUGUAUGAAGAUGGCCUUUCGGGUGAUAAAGUUCUUCAGACGGGUGAGGGAGGUGUUGGAGUUAAUAACCUUCAGGCGAUUGGCGUUACCCGCAGAAGAAGCACCGGCUAACUUCCGUGCCAGCAGCCGCGGUAAUACGGAGGGUGCAAAGCGUUAAUCGGAAUUACUGGGCGUAAAGCGCACGGCAGGCGGUCUGUCAAGUCGAAUGUGAAAUCCCCGGGCUCAACCUGGGAACUGCAUUCGAAACUGGCAGGCUAGAGUCUUGUAGAGGGGGGUAGAAUUCCAGGUGUAGCGGUGAAAUGCGUAGAGAUCUGGAGGAAUACCGGUGGCGAAGGCGGCCCCCUGGACAAAGACUGACGCUCAGGUGCGAAAGCGUGGGGAGCAAACAGGAUUAGAUACCCUGGUAGUCCACGCCGUAAACGAUGUCGACUUGGAGGUUGUGCCCUUGAGGCGUGGCUUCCGGAGCUAACGCGUUAAGUCGACCGCCUGGGGAGUACGGCCGCAAGGUUAAAACUCAAAUGAAUUGACGGGGGCCCGCACAAGCGGUGGAGCAUGUGGUUUAAUUCGAUGCAACGCGAAGAACCUUACCUACUCUUGACAUCCAGAGAACUUUCCAGAGAUGGUUUGGUGCCUUCGGGAACUCUGAGACAGGUGCUGCAUGGCUGUCGUCAGCUCGUGUUGUGAAAUGUUGGGUUAAGUCCCGCAACGAGCGCAACCCUUAUCCUUUGUUGCCAGCGGUUAGGCCGGGAACUCAAAGGAGACUGCCAGUGAUAAACUGGAGGAAGGUGGGGAUGACGUCAAGUCAUCAUGGCCCUUACGAGUAGGGCUACACACGUGCUACAAUGGCGCAUACAAAGAGAAGCGACCUCGCGAGAGCAAGCGGACCUCAUAAAGUGCGUCGUAGUCCGGAUUGGAGUCUGCAACUCGACUCCAUGAAGUCGGAAUCGCUAGUAAUCGUAGAUCAGAAUGCUACGGUGAAUACGUUCCCGGGCCUUGUACACACCGCCCGUCACACCAUGGGAGUGGGUUGCAAAAGAAGUAGGUAGCUUAACCUUCGGGAGGGCGCUACCACCUUUGGAUUACCGG